rnacentral:tRNA from 1 species
GCCGGUGUAGCUCAACUGGUAGAGCAACUGACUUGUAAUCAGUAGGUUGGGGGUUCAAUUCCUCUUGCCGGCACCA